GACGAACGCUGGCGGCGUGCUUAACACAUGCAAGUCGAACGAAGUGGCGAACGGGUGAGUAACGCGUAAUCAACCUGCCCUUCAGCGGGGGACAACAGUUGGAAACGACUGCUAAUACCGCAUACUGAAGGAGGGGAUUGCGUCGGAUUAGCUCGUUGGAGGGGUAACGGCCCACCAAGGCGAUGAUCAGUAGCCGGUCUGGAGAGGUGAACGGCCACAUUGGGAAUGGGACACGGCCCAGGCUCCUACGGGAGGGAGCAGUGGGGAAUCUUCCGAAAUGGAGGAAAAGCCUACGGAGCAACGCCGCGUGAGUGGUGACGGCCUUCGGGUUGGAAAGGUCUGUUAAUCGGGACGCGGUACCGGAAUAGAAAGCCACGGCUAACUACGUGCCAGCAGCCGCGGUAAUAC
rnacentral:rRNA from 1 species